CAAGUCGCACGAGAAAGUCCGCAAGGAUGAGUAAAGUGGCGUACGGGUGAGUAACACGUGGAUCAUCUACCUUUUAGUGGGGAAUACCUCCGGGAAACUGGAGACAAUACCGCAUAAGCUCGUAAGAGGAAAGCAGCAAUGCGCUGAAAGAGGAGUCCGCGGCUGAUUAGCUAGAUGGCGGGGUAACGGCCCACCAUGGCGAAGAUCGGUAGCCGGCCUGAGAGGGCACACGGCCACACUGGCACUGAAACACGGGCCAGACUCCUACGGGAGGCAGCAGUGGGGAAUCUUGCACAAUGGAGGAAACUCUGAUGCAGCGACGCCGCGUGAGUGAUGAAGCCCUUCGGGGUGUAAAGCUCUUUCGACGGGAACGAUUAUGACGGUACCCGAAGAAGAAGCUGCGGCUAACUACGUGCCAGCAGCCGCGGUAAUACGUAGGCAGCAAGCGUUGUUCGGAAUUACUGGGCGUAAAGAGUGUGUAGGCGGUGUCGCAAGUCUGUCGUGAAAUCUCCCGGCUUAACUGGGAGGGUGCGGCGGAUACUGCGGUGCUAGAGGGUGGGAGAGGUAAGCGGAAUUCCUGGUGUAGCGGUGAAAUGCGUAGAUAUCAGGAGGAACACCUGUGGUGUAGACAGCUUACUGGACCACUUCUGACGCUGAGACACGAAAGCGUGGGUAGCAAACAGGAUUAGAUACCCUGGUAGUCCACGCCCUAAACGAUGCAUACUUGGUGUGAGCCAUUCAUUUGGUCCGUGCCGGAGCUAACGCGUUAAGUAUGCCGCCUGGGGAGUACGGUCGCAAGGCUGAAACUCAAAGGAUUGACGGGGGCCCGCACAGCGGUGGAGCAUGUGGUUCAAUUC
rnacentral:rRNA from 1 species